rnacentral:rRNA from 1 species
UACAGAGGUGGCAAGCGUUGUUCGGAAUUACUGGGCGUAAAGGGCGAGUAGGCGGCCUUCUAAGUCAGACGUGAAAUCCCCCGGCUUAACCUGGGAACUGCGUCUGAUACUGGGUGGCUUGAAUCCGGGAGAGGGAUGCGGAAUUCCAGGUGUAGCGGUGAAAUGCGUAGAUAUCUGGAGGAACACCGGUGGCGAAGGCGGCAUCCUGGACCGGCAUUGACGCUGAGGCGCGAAAGCCAGGGGAGCAAACGGG